rnacentral:lncRNA from 1 species
ACUGCAACCUGCGCAUCCUGGGUUCAAGCAAUUCUUCUGCCUCAGCCUCCUGAGUAGCUGGGGCUACAGGUGCACACCACUACUCCCAGGCCAAUGGUUUUCAACUGGGAAUUCACGCAACUCAUAUCUGGAGUUUUAUUAAUAUAACAGAUGUUUAGUACCUCCUCCAGAUUUACUGAGCCUUUUUACUUAAUAAUUUUGAUACAUUCUUGGGUUAUUCUAAUUGUAUGCUUGUUUAGUCAUGUAUGUUAUAUGUCAAGAUUAUUCUAUCUGAAGGCUUUUUCUCUGUAAAAAUUAUGUUCAUCCAUUUUCAUAAAUUAUAUAUGAUAUCCACUCUUUGAAAAUAUGGCUAAUUUUAUGUUUGUUUGUAUUUUGUCUUUAACUUUUUGAGUGAUUUUAUUUUGCACAUCACAGAAAGAAUCAAACUUCCUUGUUAACUGUAUUAUUCCUGUAACAAAUCCUCUUCAGAUCUUUGUUUUGAAAAUCAUUAAUAAUAAGCUAACCACACCCAUUUUAAAUCUCUGUCAUCUACAGAAAGGGUUUGUUUUGUCAUGAUGCUUCCCUGAAACCACUUGCAAUAAGCUACAGGCCAGUGUGUUAUUAUCAACAAAGAAAGACUGUCUUAGAGCCUUGGGAAAGGACUAUACCAGGCACUGUACCUUGGUGUACAGCUUCUGAUGGUAUUGCAUGAACAACUUUGAGGCCAUCCCGGUGGACUGAGUCAGUAUAUCUGGACUUCAGUCCACAAAUGAGUCCAUGAUAUGGCUACCCCAGGAUUGUGUGGAACAAGAAUUCAUUGCAUAGGGCUAAAUCAACUAAUGGGUAACACUUGUUGGUUUUGUUUGGAAUAUUGUUGAUGUUUUAAUAUUCUGUGUUCUGGAUGUAAAGAACCCUUUCUCUCUUUUCUGUUAAGCUGUCUAUAACUUAUAACAAUUUAGUAGACUCUGUUUUAUAAACAGAAAUAAAACUCUUAUCUUUUUUCCCUGCUUGUUCCCUCUAGAAAUCAGAAACUCUUAUUAAAUAUUCUUAUUUUCACAGCAACAGAGUUAUAUGCAUAGGUUCACUAAGAAGAGAUUAUAUUGUAUCCCUUGUCAUUAACAAGGAAACAACAAUGUUUCCAAUUAUGUCCUGUUAUUAAUAAGGAUAGUCCUUAUUAUUCACCAACCAAGACCAUGCCUGCCAUUUCAUAUUUGAUAAUGAUGCGUAUUUAAUCAGAUAUGACCAGGCACUAAAGAAACUUGGAUUGACUUGAUGGAGCCGAUGCUUUUGAAGCCCUCUUAGGAAAACUUGCCCAUUACCUGUCUUACAGGGUUUAAAGGGCUUACAGGGCCUACACUGUUCCUUCUUAGCCUUAGAGCUGAGGAAGGAAGGCUACUUCCUGGUAAUCCUAAGAAUUUCAGAAUAUUUGAGGGACCUCAAGAAGAAAGGAAUUAAUCUAAAUAUAUAGGUGAAAUCUGAUGAUGAAUUAUUGGCUUGGCAUACUAGCCUCAAGGGGCAUUUAAAAGUUAAAAUUGCCCGGGCAUAGUGGCUCACGCCUGUAAUCCUAGCACUUUGGGAGGUUGAGGUGGCCGGAUCACUUGAGGUCAGGAGUUCGACACCAGCUAGACCAACAUGGUGAAACCCUGUUUCUCCUGAAAAUACAGAAAUUAGCUAGGUGUGGUGGCACGUGCCUGUAGUUCCUGCUACUCUGGAGGUUGAGGCAUGAGAAUUGCUUGAACCCAGGAGGCAGAGGUUGCAGUGAGCUGAGAUCAUGUGACUGCACACCGGCCUGGGCAACAGAGCAAGACUCUGUCCCAAAAAACAAACAAACAAACAAAACCUAAAUAACUACAUAAAUAAAAGUUGAAAUUGAAUCAAGAGUUCCUAAUGAUAACUUCCAGGAAAGCAAACUUAAAAAGAUAUAUAUGGUAAAUUACCAUUCUUACUGUACCUCUGUACAUAAUCAGGCUAAAUCCAGUAAGAAUGAAACCACAUUAUUUUAUGAUCAAGAAUAAUCACUUUUUUUCUCUUCUUUCCUUUUCCUCUUUUUUUUUUUUUUUUCUUUGAGAUGGAGUCUCACUGUCACUCAGGCUGGAGUGCAGUGGCACGAUCUCGGCUCACUGAAAGCUCAGCCUCCUGGGUUCAUGACAUUCUUCUGCCUCAGCCUCCUGAGUAGCUGGGACUACAGGCGCCCGCCACCACGCCUGACUAAUUUUUUUGUAUUUUUUUAGUAGAGACGGGGUUUCACCAUGUUAGCCAGGAUGGUCUUGAUCCCCUGACCUCGUGAUCCUCCCGCCUUGGCCUCCCAAAGUGCUGGGAUUACAGGUGUGAGCCACUGCACCUGGCCCUGUUUUUUUUAAAGACUAUCUUUGUUCAGGAAAACUUUGUUUCAGUGGAAAACUAUAGCAGAUCUUUUUGAGUUAUCAGAUUUGAAACAAUAAUUCAAUCGUCUUUGAACUAUUUGUGCCUCUUUAUAAAUUGUAGGUAACUGAUGGAUGUGCUAACUCUGUUUGGUUGAGAUUUAAUUGGCUUCCUUCCCCACUGUGCAAUAACUGGUUUUGUAACCUACUUGUGAUUAGACUGGAUUUUGUUACCUUGAACAAAUUGUCAAUUUUUACCAUGUUUUCAAUUCUUCUCAUUUUUUUUUUCAAUAUCUGGCUAUAACCUUUCAAACUAACAUUUCCAACUUUUCUCCCUCCCUCUUAACUUGGUCUCACUGAGAACAAAAGUCUGACUAUCUAGAGAUCCUUAUCGAGACUCAAAGUUGCCUUGUAGCUGUUCUUUCACCUCCAGAUCUGAAGAAGGACUGGGGGCUAAAACCUGAUGACUUGAUAUAUACCCUGAGGGACUUAUCACCACAGAAGACCAUAAUGGACUGAAUUUCUCCCUGAGCAAGUUACUGUCUAGGCCACUAAGAAAGCUCACUGAAAUGCUCAGGUCAUGCAUAACCUUACAUGAGAAGUAACCAAGACUGGACAACAUCACCAAGAACAUUAACUUCUUAACUUCAAGAAACUCCAUAAGCAGUGCUACAUAAUCAAAAGGUUUUCAUCCACUGACUCUGGAAUCCACUGGACCAAACUUUCUCAGGGUUGAACUCUUGGGUCUUUACUUUAAUCCAGCUUUAUAUAUAUAUAUUUUUUUUAUUUUUCAUAUAGAUGCCUGAUCUCUAGGACUCUAAAACAACUGAGCUUUGCCUCUACCUUUCAAUAGAUGUGUUUAUGGGAGGCCAUUAUUUUGGACUAGUUUCCUGUGUUAGGCCCUAGCAGACAAGACCAAAUUAUAAUGGAGUUACUUGGGCUAAGUGCCACAUAAUCAAACUGAACUUUCCAACAGGUCAGUUUUCCAAAAAAAACCCCCAGCAGAUUCUAGUACCUGAGUCAGCAUAAUAAGGAUGCCUCCUCUGUUUGAACCCUAUAAGGAAAGUAACGUUGAAAGGAUGAGUCUGUUUUUUAUUCUCUCUUUUUGUUUCCUUUGGCUCUUUUCAUUCUAUAAAUCUAACCUCCUCCAUUCAGUUCAUUUGAACACUCACUCUAUUUUAUAGAAUGAGGUGUUCCCUGAUUCUAGAAUUGAAAAUAAAAGUCAAUUAUAAAUUUAAACUAAAUACAUUGUAAUUUUAUUUUUUGAUGGGUGAUUUAAUUAAUUUUGAAGACAUCAUGUCAUUAAGAGUCCUCGCAAGCAUAGUUCUUUUACCCUGGUUCACCUCACUCAGGAGAUUUAUGGCCACCUUUGACUUGUGCAACAGUGAAUGAAAUUUAUCUGUCUUGAUCAAAAGGGAAAGAGGACUAACAAUGUUGAACUUUUCCAGAGCCUCAUGCUUUCAGAAAAUAGUUGUGGUUAAGAAAUCUCACCAACUUUUUGUUUUCAGAAAUGCCUCACCGUUUUGUGUUCUGAAAAACAGCUUAAGGAAAUGAAUCACCCUUCUCCAUGUGACUCACAUAGCACUCACUGUCCAUUCUUUCUUGUGACCCCCAUCAGGCUUGUAAAUGGCUUUCUUGUUUACCUGUGACAAG